GGAAGAGGUGUCUGGUAUUGAGAAUGCCUUCCUAAAGCGGCAUGCUGAUGCAUGCCUUCCUGUGCUGGACAUGUCUCAACAGCAGCCGUCGCAAGAACUGGUGGCUAGGGAUUUGCAUAGGUUAGAGCGGCGCUUUCGCCAUGUGUACCGUGACAUUUACGAUGAGGCUGCUCAGUAGUAAUCUGCAUUUUCUUGUUCCAACGGACUUGCUUUAGAACUUAAGUUUCAGUCAUUAAGUUUUAAGGGAUCUUUUGUGCACAAGGGCGAAAAUGGAGAACUUCGUGUUGGUGUUCGCCGUGCAAUGGAGACACAACAGAAUCCUUCUUCAUCUGUUAUAUCUUUUCGCAGCAUGCAACUUGGUGUACUUGCCACUGCAUCUCACGUUAUAUCUACUGGGACCAUGUUUAGUGUAUAUUACCUUCCUAGGAUGAGUCCGUCCGAGUUCCUAAUUCCAUACGAUGAAUACAUGAGAUCAGUUAGGAACAAAUAUUCCAUUGGACUGAGGUUCAGAAUGAAGUUUGAGGGAGAAGAAGGCCCAAAACAAAGAAUUGUGGGUACAAUAGUUGGAAUUGACGAUGUUGAUCCGGUUAGGUGGCCUAGAUCGAAAUGGAGAUGUCUCACGGUUACCUGGGAUGAACCUUGUUUAACAGUUGUUCGUCCUAAAAGAGUUUCUCCUUGGACAAUUGAACUAUCUGACAAUGCAAGGACCAAUUCGAUUCCAGUACAACUGAAAACGGCAAGAAGGGUCCGAAUCUCCUCAUCUGCUGAUUCAUCUAUCCUGGAUGAUGGUUAGUUUUCAAUGUCUGUCUUAUUUACUUGUAGGAAUUUCUUUUUAAUGUUACCUGAAGUACUUGCCUCUAAGGUUAUUACAGAUAUAAUGACGGGGUAGGAUCCGUUGACAUGGUUAUAUCGACAUAAUCCGUUGAUAUGGUUAUAGUUUUUCUUAAUGAACCCAAACGGCAAGGAUUUUGAAGCUAAUUUUUUGGUUACAUGUUCUUCUUAUAAGUCUCUACAUUCCAACCAAAAA